CGUGGGGUGGGGGGUGGGGGGCAGCUUCCUGGAUUUCUGAUGCAGGAAGAAACCACCGAUGAGAGGGAGGGCAGAUAGGGGAAGGGCGAGGAAGGGGGCUGAGAAGGAGAAAGAGAGGCCAGGGACUCCGGGCAGGGCCUCCUGGAGGGGAGGAGGGAGGGCGGGUAGGUGGAUAGAAAGCUGGGCUUUCUUUGUUUUGUUUGUGUGGGCAGGGCUGGGCCAUGAAUCCACCUCGUCUGCACUGUGAGGUCAGCUGCCCAGCGAGGUAACAGCUGGCACCUGUGUGCGAAAUGCAGCGUGCAUUAGCAGCAUCAUUACUUAGCAUUAGAGCAUUACAAAGAUAAUUAGAGAAGCAGAGGACAGCGGGAAUUGAAACCGCAGCCCCCUUGGCUUCUCAAACGCACAGGUUACAACUGUAAUUUCAAGGAUUUACAGGGCCACCUUGCACAGCGCAGCUAGGCUGUGACUUGAAGAGGACUCCAAGGAGACUGUAACUGUGGCCAGUGUGGGACAGGACUCCUGCCCAGGCCUCAGCUUGGCUCAGAAGUCAAAUUAAGGUCACAGGAACCAGAGGAAAAUACAGGAAUUGAUUCAUGCAGAAUACAACCCACCAACCCCAGGAGGGAGGGGCUUUCCUGAAAUACAUGAGUGUCUCUGGUUUCACAUGACGCUGUGUAUGGUUUAUCCUUCAUAAACCACAGGAGGCUGAAAAUGGUCAUUUCCUGGCCCUCCAAAGGUGGUUUUCCAGUGAGGACUGCAUUCUGACUAAUCAAUGUUGCUUUUUCCCCUCUCUGAGUCUUCCUGCUGCACACAGACACAGAGCUGACUUACGCUUUGGGGGUGGGGAGUAGAGAGAGGCCUGUGGAGAGCUACUUCCAGUCAGUCUUGUAAUCAGCCAUCUCUGCCUGUUGAGAGACUUUCAGUUGCAAAGACUCCCCACACAGCCAGGCUGGAGGAGCACUCUCAGUGCAUUGCUAGGCUUUGGAUUCACUUGCCCUGGAGAGACUGGAUGAACUGGCCCAGCAGCCCACAGACUACAUCUAAAGCUUUCCCCAGCUGAAGUCAGAGAAACAAAAACCUGAAAGGAAGCCCAGAGGGAGCGAGCUCACUUCUCACCACACCCACACCUGACUUGUAACACACAACUAAUAUUUUGGUUUGAUUAAUUUUAUUAAAUUUACAGCACAGAGCUCAUGUUUGUUAUAUAAACGAUUUUAAAAGGCGGGGGUGU